rnacentral:misc_RNA from 1 species
GNGACUGCAUUUGUAGUGCUCCACAGAUUGUCUGAUGAAUAGUAGAUAUGCAAGGCGGCUGUGCGAUUGAGACUUCAGUGUCCCCUUCGUCUAAAGGCCCAGGACAGCGGCCUUUCACGGCGGUACCAGGGGUUCGAAUCCCCUAAGGGACGCCACUUGCUGGUUCGUGAGUGAAAGUCACCUGCCGUCUUAUCUCAAAACUGACUUGCCAGUCAUGUUUGACAUAUUUGCUCUUUAAAAAUCUGGAUCGAGCUGAAAAUUGAAACGACACACAUGUUAUGUGUGUUCGAGUCUCUCAAAUUUUCACCAUCAUAAGUCCAACCUCUUUAACUUGGGAAGGUAAAACACUACAUAGUUAACCUGGGUGCCCCGGCACGACGAAGGCCAGGAAGAAAAUCUUAUUCAGGAAAAACGACGGAAAGGAGGAAAUGAACUUUGGCCCCGGAAUUGCCAAAUGGGGGAAACCAGGGCAAAUCCUUGGUCUAUUUGUGAGUUAAUACCAAAGUUUACAAAGGCAAGCGGGGGAAACUGAACAUCCUAAUAACCCGAAGGAAAAAAAUCCAACCAAAAUUCCCCCGGAGCGACACGACCGAAGGGGGUCUGACCCGAAGUUGGAAUACUCUGGGGGGGUUAUGGAAACGGCCUGGAAAUUCCAACGGAACAGGGGGAAGGCCCGGCCACAAAAAAUCCCCAGGUGGGGACUCUCAAAAGAAAAGGAAACAACCCACGUACUCCCCGCUGGAUAUUGGGGGAUCAUUCGUCUGCGGUAAAUUCUGUCUUAAUUGGACGGUUACUGAUCUUCUGUCGGAAGGUAAAGCGGAAAAGGACCCCCGCAAAGGGAACCGAAAAAUGAACUGGGAAUCGAGUCUGCUACCAAAUAGGGGGAACCCUCUUAUUGGGUGUGCUGUGCGACCCGUUUGAAUGUCGGGGUACACUAAUUUUUAUCUCGUUACCAGGGUUAAAUGCUCAUAAGGUAGCGGAAGAGAAACCGGAGCCUCACUUGAGAGGUUAAGUUACCGGGAUAUAAACCCGAAACCCGCGAAUGCUAGCUAGGGCCUGGUUUAAGGGUAGUCGUACAUCCUACCGGGAAAGACCGACCGCGCUAUUGUUACAANUUAGCGGUUACACCUGUNGCUGG